GGGGAAUAUUGCGCAAUGGGGAACCCUGACGCAGCCAUGCCGCGUGAAUGAAGAAGGCCUUCGGGUUGUAAAGUUCUUUCGGUAUUGAGGAAGGUUGAUGUGUUAAUAGUACAUCAAAUUGACGUUAAAUACAGAAGAAGCACCGGCUAACUCCGUGCCAGCAGCCGCGGUAAUACGGAGGGUGCGAGCGUUAAUCGGAAUAACUGGGCGUAAAGGGCACGCAGGCGGUUAUUUAAGUGAGGUGUGAAAGCCCCGGGCUUAACCUGGGAAUUGCAUUUCAGACUGGGUAACUAGAGUACUUUAGGGAGGGGUAGAAUUCCACGUGUAGCGGUGAAAUGCGUAGAGAUGUGGAGGAAUACCGAAGGCGAAGGCAGCCCCUUGGGAAUGUACUGACGCUCAUGUGCGAAAGCGUGGGGAGCAAACAGGAUUAGAUACCCUGGUAGUCCACGCUGUAAACGCUGUCGAUUUGGGGAUUGGGCUUAAAGCUUGGUGCCCGUAGCUAACGUGAUAAAUCGACCGCCUGGGGAGUACGGCCGCAAGGUUA
rnacentral:rRNA from 1 species